UACGUAGGGUGCAAGCGUUGUCCGGAAUUAUUGGGCGUAAAGAGCUUGUAGGCGGUUUGUCGCGUCUGCUGUGAAAUUUCGGGGCUCAACCCCGAACUUGCAGUGGGUACGGGCAGACUAGAGUGUGGUAGGGGAGACUGGAAUUCCUGGUGUAGCGGUGAAAUGCGCAGAUAUCAGGAGGAACACCCAUAGCGAAGGCAGCUUGCUGGGACGUUACUGACGCUAAGGCGCGAAAGCGUGGGGAGCGAACAGG
rnacentral:rRNA from 1 species